AUUGAGGAAAUAGAAAGAGUAGGACAGACCUGUGCUGUGAGGAAGAGGAAGCAAAAUCAUCUGAAUAUAUCGAUGAUGAGAAAAUAGAUUACAACAUUGAAACAACCACGGAUGACGAUCUUGGGAACCCUAUCAAAAGAGCGAAGUGUUCAGAAUCACCUACAUUCUCGACACCAUCUCUGGUUUCUGAAUGUCCAGAAUCAAUUAGUUCAGAAGUAGAAAAUCAGUCAGCAUUGUCAAUAACAUCCAAGGAUUUGUCUACGUAUAUCAAUUUAAAACGGCUUACCAAAUGCAA